rnacentral:tRNA from 1 species
CACAAAAUCGAUUAAUAAAGUCACUUAUCCUGGGAGUAAGCUAUACAGAUUAAAAUCCUGUUUUUG